GGUUAUUGUACCGUGAAAACAACAGACAUGGGGAACAAUCCGAACGUGCAAAAUGAGCGGAAGAAUUAGGCCGACAUGAUUAUUAGAAUAACAAAGCAAGCCAAAGAAAACGUAAUUCAGUUGUAUGUAGCUACAUUUACCUGGCAUUUUGUUAACGAGGAGGCAACAAAAAUAAAACGAUUUGUUAAAGAAAACGCCCACUUGAAACAGUACGAAGUCCUUACAUCGUUGGAUGGGUAUUAACGAAUCUAAUGCUUGGGUAUAAGCAACGUGCACCUGUUGACGGAUAAUGAUGCAACACUAAAUGUGUCGGUGAUGAAGUUGAAGAAAAAAAUGUCUACCGUGCAUGUUUCUCACGUGAGUAAAAGUCAUCGACGCUGGAUUCAUUAUGAAACCAUUGUGUGUGUGAGAGAGAGUUGACGUCGAGCUGGAUUAGCUUUUCGACAAGUUGGAGGGAAACUUUGCUUGUCGAGCUCGCUAUUAAACGGUCGUGGCGUGAUGCUAUUUACCAGCCUCAUUAAUAUCCAAGUUGUGUGCUCGACAUUUUUCUAGUUUCGUUUAACAUACCCCUCCCCCUCUUCUCACAGUUGCAACAACAUCCAAGUUCUUGAUGCCGCUAGACGUUUAUCCAUCACCUAAGAGGCAGUCAUUUGCAAAACAAGGCCAUCAUGGACUUUUUGUUUUGUAGGAUAUGCAGAUAAAGAGGCGAUUUAAGGACUCGACGAAAAACUUUUGGAAGAGGAAAAAGGCGGGACCGUGUCCGUAGCGACAACUGGAAAACAAUAAAAUAGGUUGUAUUUAAGAGGAUCUGCGUGAAGUCGAUGGUCAGUUUCAAGCUGACUGUCCAUCCUGUUUAUCAUUAUUCUUACGCACGCUAUUUUAAAACUAAAGCAACAACACGUCUGAUCGUUUUGGAAAGUGGAGACUUUUGAGAACCGCCCUGUUUCUGUCAUGGGAGUGGCUGCAACAUUUCGUUGUCACGAAUCAUCGUUCUAUCCCCUUCUUGAUCCAUAUUGAGCUAGGACAGAGGCUCACGUUCUUGUGGCCCAUCAAUCACGGCAGGGUCAAGACAGCCAUGAAUAAUUCGUGCUCCUCCGUUACGGAUACGUUUAGCCUGUUAUAAUUGUAGUGUGGUGGUGAGGGGGAGAAUACGAGAAUUCAAUGAUUAUCAUCAAGACAGUUAGGCAUAUUCGCAUAGGAUAAUUACAUUCAAAUUUCUUCGUGUA